AUUGAACGCUGGCGGCAUGCCUUACACAUGCAAGUCGAACGGCAGCGGGCCUUCGGGUGCCGGCGAGUGGCGAACGGGUGAGUAAUGCAUCGGAACGUGCCAUUGAGUGGGGGAUAACGUAGCGAAAGUUACGCUAAUACCGCAUAUUCUGUGAGCAGGAAAGCAGGGGACCGCAAGGCCUUGCGCUCUUUGAGCGGCCGAUGUCAGAUUAGCUAGUUGGUGAGGUAAAGGCUUACCAAGGCGACGAUCUGUAGCGGGUCUGAGAGGAUGAUCCGCCACACUGGAACUGAGACACGGUCCAGACUCCUACGGGAGGCAGCAGUGGGGAAUUUUGGACAAUGGGCGAAAGCCUGAUCCAGCCAUGCCGCGUGAGUGAAGAAGGCCUUCGGGUUGGUUAAAGAC
rnacentral:rRNA from 1 species